rnacentral:tRNA from 1 species
UUGCGGCUGGAUCACCUCCUUUCUAGAGAAUUGCCCGAGCUUUCGGGCGCCCACACUUAUCGGCUGUAGGACGCUAAGCCGAACGGGUCUGUAGCUCAGUUGGUUAGAGCACACGCUUGAUAAGCGUGGGGUCGGUGGUUCAAGUCCACCCAGACCCACCAACUGAGCCCCUGGACGAAUACGUUUCGGGGGCCAUAGCUCAGCUGGGAGAGCGCCUGCUUUGCAAGCAGGAGGUCACCGGUUCGAUCCCGGUUGGCUCCACCAGCCUUAUUCGAUCAGCAACAACCGCGUAGCACGCCCGCAACGGGAACGGCUGCGUGGGCAUUUGUCUCGGCUGCUCUUUAACAAUUCGGAAGAAGCAAUGCGAGUCCGGUUCGUA